AUAAAUAAGCGGAGGAAAAGAAACCAAACGGGAUUCCCUUAGUAACGGCGAGCGAAAAGGGAAAUGUCCAGCGCCAAGUCUUGACAUCUAUGGUGUUCAAGAGAUGCGGCGUUAAUGUAUCGACCCAUCGUGCACUGUUCCACGUUUCAAGUUCCUACGACCGGGACUUCCAGAGCGGGUGUAAGACCCAUAGAGAUGAGGAACCAGUGCAUGCUGAGCGAUGCAUUCUAGAGUCAGGUUGCUUGAGAGUGCAGCUUAAAGUCGGUGGUAAACUCCAUCCAAGACUAAAUAUUACAGCGAGACCGAUAGCAAACAAGUACCGUGAGGGAAAGUUGCAAAGCACUUUGAAGAGAGAGUUCAAAAGUACGUGAAACCACUGGGAGGCAAACAGAUGGAACCACGAAGUGUGCGCCCAGGUCGAUUCAAUCAUCACUUUUGUUCAGUUGUUGUUGAUCAGGAUCUCUUCGGAGGUUGAUUUACAACAAUUURAGACCAAAGGUGUUGGUGCAUUUCGUGCCUGGGAUGCAAAGCCACGUUCAACUAGAGUUGGGACGGCUGUAGGAAAGAAUCCGGGAAAGGUGACCGUCAAGUGCUUGCAUUUGACGGCGUUAUAGUCCUGGAUUGGCACCGUCGCCUAACAUACUGGUUGAUGGAAAUUCUCCAUUUGGAGUUCGGAACCAUAUCUGCCUGUGAUUGUUAGUCGAUGUUGCGUAAUGUUCUUUGCGUAUCUUUCGAUGCGAAAAGACUUUACAAAAAUGUCGGCUAACGGUUGCUUGCGUGAUAUGGUGGAACUGUGGUGUGAGUAGGUCGGUCUCCAUCUGACCCGUCUUGAAACACGGACCAAGGAGCCUAUCAUAUACGCGAGUCGCUCGGUCUUGUUYAGGCCUGGGAGGCGCAAUGAAAGUAAAGUUACGAGGCUUCGGCUGCAGUAACGGCUCGCCCACUUCGUUUAUUGGCGAUCUGGCGAAGCUGGAGCGUGUACGAUGGUACCCGAAAGAUGGUGAACUAUGCCUGGGCAAGACGAAGCCAGAGGAAACUCUGGUGGAGGUCUGUAGCGAUUCUGACGUGCAAAUCGAUCGUCAGACCUGGGUAUAGGGGCGAAAGACUAAUCGAACCAUCUAGUAGCUGGUUCCCUCCGAAGUUUCCCUCAGGAUAGCAGGCAUUUAUGUUGUUGUGCAGUCUCAUCCGGUAAAGCUAAUGAUUAGAGGUCUUGGGGUUGAAACGACCUCAACCUAUUCUCAAACUUUAAAUGGGUGAGAUGGUUGACUUUCUUGAUUGAAGCCAACCAUUUGGAUGCAAAUGCCUAGUGGGCCAUUUUUGGUAAGCAGAACUGGCGCUGUGGGAUGAACCAAACGUCGAGAUAAGGCAUCAAAUGCGUACGCUCAUCAGACCCCAUGAAAGGUGUUGGUUGCUAUAGACAGCAGGACGGUGGCCAUGGAAGUCGGAAUCCGCUAAGGAGUGUGUAACAACUCACCUGCCGAAGCAACUAGCCCUGAAAAUGGACGAUGCUGUAGCGUGGAGCCGAUACUCGACCGUUGUAAUGAUUCAAUAAGAAUGCGAUAUUACAACGAGUAGGAGGGCCGCAAUGUUAGCAUUGAAGGUGUCCGGCGUGAGCCGGCCUGGAGCUAUCAUUGUU
rnacentral:rRNA from 1 species